GGGGUAGCUCAAUCGCUAGAGCAUGAGAUUUUAAAUCUCAGGGUCGUAGGUUCGAGCCCCACAUUGGUCA